GACGAAGAAAGGAACAGAAACUGUGAAAACGGAGAAAAAAGACAAGAAGGCUGAGGAAGUUUAGAAAUGGUGGGAGGAGGAAAAACAUCCGGAAGGUAUAAAAUGGCUCACACUAGAACACAAGGGGCCAUACUUCCCACCGGAGUAUGAACC